GUGUGUGUGCGUGUGUGUGUGGUGUGUGUGUGUGGUGUGUGUAGUGUGUGUCUCCAUAUUGGACAGAAUGCUUAUUUAUCCUCUGUGUGUUUAUUCUACAGCUCAUAGGAGGCAGGUGUGUGUGUGUGUGUGUGUGGUGUGUGUGUAGUGUGUGUGUCUCCAUAUUGGACAGAAUGCUUAUUUAUCCUCUGUGUGUUUAUUCUACAGCUCAUAGGAGGCAGGUGUGUGUGUGUGUGUGUGUGUGUGUGUGUCUCCAUAUUGGACAGAAUGCUUAUUUAUCCUCUGUGUGUUUAUUCUACAGCUCAUAGGAGGCAGGUGUGUGUGUGUGUGUGUGUGUGGUGUGUGUGUAGUGUGUGUGUCUCCAUAUUGGACAGAAUGCUUAUUUAUCCUCUGUGUGUUUAUUCUACAGCUCAUAGGAGGCAGGUGUGUGUGUGUGUGUGUGUGUGGUGUGUGUGUAGUGUGUGUGUCUCCAUAUUGGACAGAAUGCUUAUUUAUCCUCUGUGUGUUUAUUCUACAGCUCAUAGGAGGCAGGUGUGUGUGUGUGUGUGUGUGGUGUGUAUGGUGUGUGUGUCUCCAUAUUGGACAGAAUGCUUAUUUAUCCUCUGUGUGUUUAUUCUACAGCUCAUAGGAGGCAGGUGUGUGUCUGUGUGUGUGUGGUGUGUGGUGUGUGUGGUGUGUGUGUCUCCAUAUUGGACAGAAUGCUUAUUUAUCCUCUGUGUGUUUAUUCUACAGCUCAUAGGAGGCAGGUGUGUGUGUGUGUGUGUGUGUGUGUGUAGUGUCUCCAUAUUGGACAGAAUGCUUAUUUAUCCUCUGUGUGUUUAUUCUACAGCUCAUAGGAGGCAGGUGUGUGUGUGUGUGUGUGUGUGUGUGUGUGUGUGUGUGUAGUGUCUCCAUAUUGGACAGAAUGCUUAUUUGUCCUCUGUGUGUUUAUUCUACAGCUCAUAGGAGCGUCUUAAACUAUCAACCUCUAUCAAAUAUCACUUUUUAUUUAGUUUUUA